rnacentral:rRNA from 1 species
GAAGAAAUUCGGAUUAAUACCCCAUACGAUAAGAACUGGCAUCGGUUUUUAUUGAAAGCUCCGGCGGUAUAGGAUGGGCAUGCGUCCCAUUAGCUAGUUGGUGAGGUAACGGCUCACCAAGGCGACGAUGGGUAGGGGGCCUGAGAGGGUGAUCCCCCACACUGGAACUGAGACACGGUCCAGACUCCUACGGGAGGCAGCAGUAAGGAAUAUUGGUCAAUGGGCGCAAGCCUGAACCAGCCAUGCCGCGUGCAGGAAGACUGCCAUUAUGGUUGUAAACUGCUUUUAUAUGGGAAGAAACCCCCGGACGUGUCCGGGGCUGACGGUACCAUGUGAAUAAGGAUCGGCUAACUCCGUGCCAGCAGCCGCGGUAAUACGGAGGAUCCAAGCGUUAUCCGGAUUUAUUGGGUUUAAAGGGUGCGUAGGCGGCGUGUUAAGUCAGAGGUGAAAUUCGGCAGCUCAACUGUCAAAUUGCCUUUGAUACUGGCAUGCUUGAAUGCGAUUGAGGUAGGCGGAAUGUGACAUGUAGCGGUGAAAUGCUUAGAUAUGUGACAGAACACCGAUUGCGAAGGCAGC